rnacentral:rRNA from 1 species
GACGAACGCUGGCGGCGUGCUUAACACAUGCGAGUCGAACGGAAAGGCCCUGCUUUUGUGGGGUGCUCGAGUGGCGAACGGGUGAGUAAAACGUGAGUAACCUGCCCUUGACUUUGGGAUAACUUCAGGAAACUGGGGCUAAUACCGGAUAGGAGCUCCUGCUGCAUGGUGGGGGUUGGAAAGUUUCGGCGGUUGGGGAUGGACUCGCGGCUUAUCAGCUUGUUGGUGGGGUAGUGGCUUACCAAGGCUUUGACGGGUAGCCGGCCUGAGAGGGUGACCGGCCACAUUGGGACUGAGAUGCGGCCCAGACUCCUACGGGAGGCAGCAGUGGGGAAAAUUGCACAAUGGGCGGAAGCCUGAUGCAGCAACGCCGCGUGCGGGAUGACGGCCUUCGGGUUGUAAACCGCUUUCGCCUGUGACGAAGCGCGAGUGACGGUAAUGGGUAAAGAAGCACCGGCUAACUACGUG